UGCCAGCCGCCGCGGUAAUACGGAGGGGGCGAGCGUUGUUCGGAAUUACUGGGCGUAAAGGGUGUGUAGGCGGCCCAUCAAGUUAGACGUGAAAGCCCCGGGCUCAACCUGGGAAUUGCGUUUAAUACUGGAAGUCUUGAGACCGAGAGAGGUGAGUGGAACUCCGAGUGUAGAGGUGAAAUUCGUAGAUAUUGGGAAGAACACCAGUGGCGAAGGCGGCUAACUGGCUCGGUACUGACGCUGAGAUGCGAAAGCGUGGGGAGCAAACAGGAUUAGAUA
rnacentral:rRNA from 1 species